UCGACCUGAGCUCAGGCAAGAUUACCCGCUGAACUUAAGCAUAUCAAUAAGCGGAGGAAAAGAAACUAACAAGGAUUCCCCUAGUAACGGCGAGCGAACCGGGAAUAGCCCAACUUGGAAAUCUCCCUCGGAGAAUUGUAGUCUAUAGAAGCGCCCUCUGCAGCGGCCGGGUCCCAAGUCCCCUGGAAGGGGGCGUCGUAGAGGGUGAGAACCCCGUCGGACCUUGGUGCGGCUGCCUCACGAGGUGCUUUCGAAGAGUCGGGUUGUUUGGGAAUGCAGCCCAAAGCUGGUGGUAAAUCCCAUCUAAGGCUAAAUACUGGCGAGAGACCGAUAGCGAACAAGUACCGCGAGGGAAAGAUGAAAAGAACUUUGAAAAGAGAGUUAAAAAGUGCUUGAAAUUGUUGAGGGGUAAGCGAUUGGCAGCUGCGUGUGCACCCAGGCUUACGCCGUUCUAACGAGCGGCUGCAUGCGCUGGGUGUUGGUCAGCAUGGGUUGGCUUGGCAGGAUAAACGCGGGGGUUGUUACCCCGUCUAUGCUGCCGGGCCGACCGAGGCGUGAAGGCCGCUCUUGUCCUUCGGGAUCUGCGGCCUCGAGAUGCUGGCGGAAGGCUUUCAAUCGGCCCGUCUUGAAACACGGACCAAGGAGUCUAACAUGUAUGCGAGCUGGUGGGUGGCAAACCCAUGAGGCGCAAGUAACCUGACUUUGGUGGGAUGGCCGCAAGGCCUGCACCAUCGACCGACCGUGAUCUUCUGUGAAAGGUUCGAGUACGAGCAUACCUGUUGGGACCCGAAAGAUGGUGAACUAUGCCUGAGCAGGGCGAAGCCGGAGGAAACUCCGGUGGAGGCUCGUAGAUGUGCUGACGUGCAAAUCGCUUUUCGGACUUGGGUAUAGGGGCGAAAGACUAAUCGAACCAUCUAGUAGCUGGUUCCCUCCGAAGUUUCCCCCAGGAUAGCUGGAGCUCAUAUAUCAGUUUUAUCGGGUAAAGCUAAUGAUUAGAGGUUCGGGGGAUGAAACAUCUUCCACCUAUUCUCAAACUUUAAAUAGGUAAGAUGCGUGAGUUUCUUAACUGAACUUACGCAGUCAAUGAGAGCUCCAAGUGGGCCAUUUUUGGUAAGCAGAACUGGCGAUGCGGGAUGAACCGAUAGUUGGGUUAAGGUGCCGGACUACGCGCUAACCUAGAUCCCACAAAGGGUGUUGAUUGAUACAGACAGCAGGACGGUGGUCAUGGAAGUCGAAAUCCGCUAAGGAGUGUGUAACAACUCACCUGCCGAAUCAAUUAGCCCCGAAAAUGGAUGGCGCUGAAGCGCGUGACCUAUACCCGGCCAUGGGAGCAAGUGCGAGGCUCCCAUGAGUAGGAGGGCGUGGGUGUCGCUGCGCAGCCUGGAGCGUGAGCUSGGGUGAAGCGGCACCUAGUGCAGAUCUUGGUGGUAGUAGCAAAUAUUCAAAUGAGAACUUUGAAGACUGAAGGGGAGAAA
rnacentral:rRNA from 1 species